GAUGAGUUAAUGGCAUAUCCUUCCCAUUGAUCUCACUUAUCUGAUCAAUAUGGUAAAUCAUAUUUUGAUCAGAUCGCUUUAUGAUUGGAGUUUGAUCCAUGCUACUAGAAAAUCAAUUGUGAUUGAUUUAGAUGCUCCUAGUUCGACUUAUCUUUGUCCUCAUCAUGAUUUGAUGAAGUCAGUAGGAGGAUUGAUGACUUAUCAGUUGGACUGGCUUGUUUCUAAUCCAGCCUGAUCUGACUUGAUGAAGUUAGUGGGA
rnacentral:lncRNA from 1 species